CACCACAUUAAACUCAACCAUCU
rnacentral:snRNA from 1 species